rnacentral:rRNA from 1 species
UACGUAGGUGGCAAGCGUUAUCCGGAUUUAUUGGGCGUAAAGCGAGCGCAGGCGGUUGCUUAGGUCUGAUGUGAAAGCCUUCGGCUCAACCGGAGAAUUGCAUCAGAAACUGUUGAACUUGAGUGCAGAAGAGGAGAGUGGAACUCCAUGUGUAGCGGUGAAAUGCGUAGAUAUUAGGAAGAACACCGGAGGCGAAGGCGGCUUACUGGACUGUAACUGACGCUGAGGCUCGAAAGCGUGGGGAGCAAAAAGG